rnacentral:lncRNA from 1 species
CAGGAUUAGUUCAGUGAGAGCAGUGGAACUUAGACUGUGACACCUGUUUUCAUACAGAAUAUUAACUGCAGUCAUGUUGUUUGCAUAAAACAAAUACCCCCAGCUGACUGUACAGAAGCCUGAUUGUACGUUUCUGAGCCUCGCAGUCAUAACCAGACUUCACGGUUCAGUGCUGUUCACUUCCUGUUCAUCUCACAGGUAAGUGUGACAUAUGUUACCACCUAACAGUACUGUUCCAUUAGUGUAAGAAUGGGAUUGUUCUAAUUAUUUCCUUUUACUGUAAAAAUGGUAGAAAACAAGUUGUUUGUUGGAUAGUCGUUCUAUUGUUACACGUAACCGAAUUUAUAUUGUAUAUUUUACCUAAUCAUCAUUUAAUUCCAUCCAACCUAAAAAACUUGGUCAUGUGAAGAGAGGAAUGUCUGUCAUCAGUACAGCAUUUGUAUUGUGUUUGUUUGGAUUUGGUUUUCUGACAUAAGACAAAGAUCAUCUUCACACUAAAAUGUGUUUGCCUUUUAUUUUAUCAGUCACAAGCUCAGAGAAUGAUGGUCCCCUUAUUACUGUUACUGUUGCUGCCGGGAUCACUGGCUGAAACAGAUACAGUUUGUUUCAGUUUUUCAAACAGUGCCAUCAAUGUCACUGCAUCAAAUGUGGAGGUUCUCGAACAUAAAGAUUACAUGACGUGCGACAUCACAGGACUGGCCUGCCACUUUCAGUGCACGUUCAUAAAGAAGCUCAACGAAUCGGUUGAUUGCAUAGAGGCUGAUGUUAAAAAUUCCGGUGACAAGAUUGACUAUCACUUAAAAAAUAAUACCAACUGCACCAUUUUCCUAUGCAACAAGACGACCAUCCUGACGAUGAUUAAAUCACUGCAUUGUAACAGCGAUGACCAGAAGGAAAUGAUGCAACUCUUCAAUGUAAGGGCGUCAUGUCCAGACCUCUUCAACAAGGACCUUGACAUCAAGGAAGCCUUUAUAACAGUGGAAAAAAGUAUGAUCCAUGAGAUCAUGGGAACCUCUCAACCCAAGCCUGGGGACACCAUAAACUACAAUCUGAAUUUUCUAGCUCUAAACGUGUUGAGCAUCAGUGAGGGUGAACUCAGCUCUGUACCAACCACAGGCAGUAUCCAGAAGGAAGUGCCACAGCUCUUGCCUCAGAAUCCUUCACGUAUCCCUAAAGUAUGGCUGCCAACACAUGCACUGAGCUCCAUCCCCGAGGAGAAGAGGGUCAUCAGUUUGGUCAACUACUUGCAGCACAGCCCCUACCAAUUUAGAAAUGAAGAGAUCUCAUCAGCGAUCCUGAGGAUAGAACCACUAGACGAACACCCAUUUCAGAAUCUCGUUCCGCCCAUCAAAAUGCGUUUUAGGGUCGAUACAGACGGAGCUAUGGAUAAUG